rnacentral:rRNA from 1 species
CAGCCGCCGCGGUAAUACGUAGGGUGCAAGCGUUAUCCGGAAUUAUUGGGCGUAAAGAGCUCGUAGGCGGUUUGUCGCGUCUGCUGUGAAAACUGGAGGCUCAACCUCCAGCCUGCAGUGGGUACGGGCAGACUAGAGUGCGGUAGGGGAGAUUGGAAUUCCUGGUGUAGCGGUGGAAUGCGCAGAUAUCAGGAGGAACACCGAUGGCGAAGGCAGAUCUCUGGGCCGUAACUGACGCUGAGGGGCGAAAGCAUGGGGAGCGAACAGGAUUAGAUACCCCGGUAGUCCCUGUCUCUUAUAC